UGGGGAAUUUUGGACAAUGGACGCAAGUCUGAUCCAGCCAUGCCGCGUGCGGGAAGAAGGCCUUCGGGUUGUAAACCGCUUUUGUCAGGGAAGAAACGAGUUUCUCUAAUACAGAGACUUAAUGACGGUACCUGAAGAAUAAGCACCGGCUAACUACGUGCCAGCAGCCGCGGUAAUACGUAGGGUGCAAGCGCUAAUCGGAAUUACUGGGCGUAAAGCGUGCGCAGGCGGUUAUGCAAGACAGAUGUGAAAUCCCCGGGCUCAACCUGGGAACUGCAUUUGUGAUUGCAUAGCUGGGGUGCGGCGGAGGGGGAUGGAAUUCCGGGUGUAGCAGUGAAAGGCGUAGAGAUGCGGAGGAACACCGAUGGCGAAGGGAGCCUCCUGGGCCAGUACGGACGCUCAUGGACGAAAGCGUGGGGGGCAAAAA
rnacentral:rRNA from 1 species